rnacentral:tRNA from 1 species
GCAUUCGUAGCUCAAUUGGCAGAGCAGGACACUCUUAAUGUCAAGGUUGAAGGUUCGAUUCCUUCCGAGUGCA